AGAGUUUGAUCAUGGCUCAGAACUAACGCUGGCGGCGCGUCUUAAACAUGCAAGUCGAACGGAUGUAGCAAUACAUUAGUGGCGAACGGGUGAGUAACGCG
rnacentral:rRNA from 1 species